rnacentral:rRNA from 1 species
GACAGAGGGUGCAAACGUUGUUCGGAAUUACUGGGCGUAAAGCGAGUGUAGGCGGUUUCCUAAGUCAGGUGUGAAAGCCCCGGGCUCAACCCGGGAAGUGCACUUGAAACUGGGAGGCUAGAGUAUCGGAGAGGUUGGUGGAAUUCUCGGUGUAGAGGUGAAAUUCGUAGAUAUUGGGAAGAACACCGGUGGCGAAGGCGGCGCUCUGGACCGAGACUGACGCUGAGGCGCGAAAGCGUGGGGAGCAAACAGG